AAUUGAAAUAUGUGUGUUGAUUUCUGAAGAUGGAUGCACAAAAAAAUAGUUAUAAUCUGAAUCUCAAUUUGAUACGAAAAGGAAAGGAAAAUUGAGAGAAGAAUAUUUUUUUUAUGAAGAUGAUGAAGAAAAAAAAAAUUAUCAAGAUGAUGAAGGAUGAAUGUAGAUGAAGAUGAGGGAAGAAGAAGAAAAAAAAGUAAAUAAAUUAGGUGUUGGUGAUACACUAUAAAAUCUGAUAGACCUUCGUAAUCUAACGGUCUGUUUUUUUUUUUGGAUUAAAAUUAUCAAAAUUGGACCAAAUUGAAUAAAAGAAAUAAGUUAAGGGACGUGUCUGAGAAAGUUAAGACUUAUGGGACCAAAUUGAAUAAAAGAAAUAAGUUAAGGGACUGGCAGAUCAAUUAAGCCUA
rnacentral:lncRNA from 1 species